UUAGGCCUACGGGGGGCAGCAGUGAGGAAUAUUGGUCAAUGGCCGAGAGGCUGAACCAGCCAAGUCGCGUGAGGGAUGACGGCCCUACGGGUUGUAAACCUCUUUUGUCGGGGAGCAAGACCCGCCUCGUGCAGGCGGAGCGAGAGUACCCGAAGAAAAAGCAUCGGCUAACUCCGUGCCAGCAGCCGCGGUAAUACGGAGGAUGCGAGCGUUAUCCGGAUUUAUUGGGGUUAAAGGGAGCGAAGGCGGACCUUCAAGUCAGCGGUAAAAUCGUGGGGCCCAACGCCAUACCGCCGUUGAAACUG
rnacentral:rRNA from 1 species